rnacentral:rRNA from 1 species
CGGAAAGACCCCAUGGAGCUUUACUGCAGCUUGAUAUUGAAUUUGGGUACGAUCUGUACAGGAUAGGUGGGAGCCGUAGAAUCUUGAGCGCCAGCUUGAGAGGAGGCAUCCUUGGGAUACCACCCUGAUCGUAUCUAGGUUCUAACUUGGUACCGUGAUCCGGUGCGAGGACAGUGUCAGGUGGGCAGUUUGACUGGGGCGGUCGCCUCCUAAAGAGUAACGGAGGCGCCCCAAGG